rnacentral:lncRNA from 1 species
AAAGCCACAGAUUCUGUCACGUCUGUGUGCCCAGGGCCUGGCAGCUUUAACACAGUAGGUGCUUAAAAAUGUUGGUUGGAAUCAAUUGGCCAAAUAUAGCUCUAUAGCAAAAGGAUCCGUCUGUAUCCAUUCACUUAAUUCUCUCUGCCUUAUCUGAUUGCCUUUUUUUUUUAAUCCUUACUUUCUGUCUUAGAAACAACUCUAAGACAGGAGGGCAAAGGCUAGACAAACAGAGUAAAGUGACAUGCUCAGGGUCACACAGCUAGGAAGUAUCUGAGCCAGAUAUGGUCUUUUUUUUUUCCUUAACCUUUACCUUCUGCCUUGGAAUCAACUGUAUAUUGGUUCCAAGGCAGAAGAGUGGUCAGGGUUAGGCAAUGCGGGUCAAGUGACUUGCCUAUGGUCAUAGGGCUAGGAAGUGUCUGAGGUCACAUUCGAAUCCAGGACCUCCAAUCUCUAGACCUCACUCUCAAUCCACUGAGUCACCCAGCUGGUUCCUCUUUAUACCCCCUCCCCCCAACCUGUUCCGUGGUCUUUUAGCAAAGCUCCCACUCUUGGUUUUUUUUUUUUUUUUUUUUUUUUUUUUUUUUGAGCUCUUGCUUGGUUUUAAAGUCUUUCCUUUCCCAAAGAUCUGACAAGUAUAUUAUUCUGUGUUUACCUAAUUUGCUUAUAGUUUCCUUCUUUAUGUUCAAGUCAUUCACCCAUUCUGAGUUUAUCUUGGUGUAGGGAUGAUGUUGAUCCAAACCUAAUCUCUCCCACACUGCCUUCCAAUUUUCCCAGCAGUUUUUAUCAAAUAGUGGGUUUUGGUCCCCAAAACUGGGAUCUUUGGGCUUAUCAUAGACUGUCUUGCUGAGGUCACUUACCCCAAGUCAAUUCAACUGAUCCUCCUUUCUGUCUCUUAGCCAGUACCAAAUUGUUUUCAUGACAACGGCUUUAUAGUAUAGAUUGAGGUCUGGGAUUGCAAGGCCUCCUUCCUUCACAUUUUUUUUCAUGAUCCCUGGAUAUCUUUGAUCUUUUGUUCUUCCAAAUGAACUUUGUUAAGGUUUUUUCUAGUUCAGUAAAAAAGUUUUUUGGUAGUUCAAUGGGUAUGGCACUGAAUAAGUAAAUUAAUUUGGGUAGGAGUGUCAUUUUUAU